CGGGACUGGUGAGUAACGACGUGAGGAACCUAGCCUUUCGUAGGGGGACGGAACAAGUUGGUAAACGAACUGCUAAUAACCGCAUAAUACAUUUGGGCCGCAUGGUCUGAAUGUCAAAGAUUUAUCGCCGAAAGAUGGCCUCGCGUCUGAUUAGCUAGUUGGUGGGGUAACGGCCCACCAAGGCGACGAUCAGUAGCCGGACUGAGAGGUUGGCCGGCCACAUUGGGACUGAGAUACGGCCCAGACUCCUACGGGAGGCAGCAG
rnacentral:rRNA from 1 species